GUCUCUUUGAUUAUUAAUUUAUAAGGAGUUUGACCUGCCCGGUGAAUAAUUAAGAUUGUUUUAACGGCCGCAGUACUUUGACUGUGCGAAGGUAGCAUAAUUAUUUGCCUUAUAAUUGAAGGCUUGUAUGAAUGGUUUGACGAAAACAAAUCUGUCUUAUUUAUAAGUUUUUUGAAUUUAACUUUUAAGUGAAGAGGCUUUAAUUUUAUUGAUAGACAAGAAGACCCUGUCGAGCUUUAGUUUUUAUUAAAAAGUUUUUAUAUCAUUUAUGGUUUUUUUUAGAUUUUAGUUGGGGUGACUAAGGAAUAAAUAAAAUUUCCUAAUAUUAUUAUAGAUUGUUGUAUUUUGAUCCAUUUUGUGAUGAUUAUUUGAAUUAGUUACCGCAGGGAUAACAGCAUAAUCUUUUUUGAGAGUUCAUAUCGAAAAAAAGGUUUGUGACCUCGAUGUUGGAUUAAAAUUUCCUAAGGGUGUAGAAGUUUUUAAGGGUUAGUCUGUUCGACUAUUAAAAUUUU
rnacentral:rRNA from 1 species